rnacentral:rRNA from 1 species
UACGUAGGGUGCGAGCGUUAAUCGGAAUUACUGGGCGUAAAGCGUGCGCAGGCGGCUUGCCAAGUCAGAUGUGAAAGCCCCGGGCUCAACCCGGGAACUGCGUUUGAAACUGGCAGGCUAGAGUUUGGCAGAGGGGGGUGGAAUUCCACGUGUAGCAGUGAAAUGCGUAGAGAUGUGGAGGAACACCGAUGGCGAAGGCAGCCCCCUGGGCCAAAACUGACGCUCAGGCACGAAAGCGUGGGGAGCAAACAGG